rnacentral:lncRNA from 1 species
AAGAAGACUUACAAAUCAGUGUGUUUUUGUCUUUCUUCCGGAGUUGCAGAAGAAGACUCUUGAGUAGAAAGUCGGUAGUUUUCCAUUGCAGCUCCGAGCUGAGAAACCUGAAAAGAGGUACAUAAAUAGCAUGUCAUCACAUGAUGUAAAAUAAUGGAUAAUCACCUGAUGUAGUCCCUUAUCUUUGUCAAUAAUUCAAUUCCAG